UUAGUUUUCAAAGACAAAGUGCAUCUGAAAUACAUUCUAGUUGCCUGAAAUGCUGUCUAAAGUUUGGAAACAACAUUUUGCGUGACUGCAACUACAAAUUUGACUACAACUUUGGUGGUUGUGAGGCCUUUGAACUUUUCUAUGGGUAUCUGUAAAGAUGAAAAAAUUAUGUGAAUUCUUGUGCCUUUCUGCAGAAGAUUUAAAAAUUAGGUUUGCUAUUCGUGAAGACGUGCUAAAAAUCCUAUCACAUUUCUAUCCCAAAUGUGUUCUCCUAAUUUAUGGAUCAACAAUAAAUGGAUAUGGAUUUAAAGAAAGUGACUUAGAUCUUUUAUUUUUGCCACAUCCUGAAUAUUGUAACACUGAUUCUGAAAUUGUAAAAUUGCCUUCUCCUCCAACAACUGCGGCUUUAAGACGAGGUUUUCCCUAUGAAACAUUUCUAAAGAUGGAUGAAACUUGUCAGCUUAGAUUUGUAACAAAGUUGUUGCGUAGCCAUCCACAACAGUUCACAAAUAUUUUUUUUAUUUCAGCGCGAUGUCCUGUUAUAAACAUUGUUCACAAAAAUUUUGGUUUGAAAUGUGAUGUGACAUGUACUAAUAGACUUGUCGUUUACAAUACAGAACUAUUAAGAUUAUAUGGAGAGAUGGAUGCUAGAGUAAAACCUUUAAUAAUGACUAUUCGCUGCUGGACAAAAUCUUUAGGUUUCAUUAAACAAGGAGGAUUUACAAGUUAUGCCAUAAAUCUUUUAAUCAUAUUUUUCCUGCAAAAUGUUCAGCCAGCUAUUUUACCAUCUGUUCAGUACUUAAUGAAAAUUGCAGAAUUUUCUCAUAAAAUUGGAGGAUGGGAAUGUGCAUUUACUACAAAUCUGGAAAAAAUACCCAAAUCUAGAAACAGAAUGGAACUAGGUCAACUGUUAUUUUCAUUUUUUGAAUUCUAUUGGAAGUUUGACUUUUUGAGGAAUAUUGUUAGUCCCCAUAUCGGUCAUAUUUUGCCUAUAAAAGAAGUUAAAGAAUCAACUGCUGAGAUGUUGAAGUCUUUUCCGAAGGUCAAUAAAAUAUGUCGAAAGGUAAACUUGCUCUUUUGUCUUCUUCAUGGUGGGUGGUUUGAAGAACAUCUCUUGACAUCUUUUGCGUUUCAUUGGCAGACAGUGGGAAGGUAGAAUGUUUUACCUUACUUUCAAAACCAAAAUCUUGCUUUGCCAGCGAUAUUCUCUCUUCACCCUCUACUUUGGAUUUUAGAAAGUUCAUUAAAGCAGUGACUGCUAUCUGUGUCCAAGAUCCUUUUAUUCUGUCAUUUAAUACAAGCCGAAAUGUCAGCUACAAUUUGCUGAUGUACUUCAAGAUCGCAUUAAACAAAGCAAGGAAUAUAUUCUACUGUAGUCGUCAGUUUGAAU
rnacentral:misc_RNA from 1 species